rnacentral:lncRNA from 1 species
AGCUGAUCAUACUACUUCAUCAGAAGUCAAUUCAGGUAGCUCAGGUCGAUGUUUAGAUGAGCUGGGUUGAGCCAGAUCAGCAUUUAGGUCGGCAUUCAGCCUCCAAUUUAGGUCGGCAUUCAGCCUCCACUUCAGAUCGGCUUUAUAUGAACUCAGCCUUCACUUCAGAUCGACUUUCUUAUGAGCUCAACUUCUGAUUCAGGUCGGCUUUAUAUGAACUCACCCUCUUGUUCAGGUUAGCUUUAUAUGAACUCAACCUCCAAUUCAGAUCGACUUUCUUAUGAACUGAGGUGGGAUAACCCUCACAAUACUUGCCCCC